CCUACGGGAGGCAGCAGUGAGGAAUAUUGGUCAAUGGGCGCAAGCCUGAACCAGCCAUGCCGCGUGAGGGAAGACGGUUGUAUGGAUUGUAAACUUCUUUUGUCGGAGAGCAAAAGACGCCACGCGUGGCGUUCAGAGAGUAUCCGAAGAAUAAGCAUCGGCUAACUCCGUGCCAGCAGCCGCGGUAAUACGGAGGAUGCGAGCGUUAUCCGGAUUUAUGGGGUUUAAGGGGUGCGUAGGCGGCAGAUAAAGUAAGCGGGAAAAUUGGGAGGCUCAAUGUGUACGUGCCGUUGAAACUGGUUAUCUUGAGAGAGAGAGAGGUAUGCGGAAUGCAUGGUGUAGCGGUGAAAUGCAUAGAUAUCACGCAGAACUCCGAUUGCGAAGGCAGCAUACCGGCGCUCAACUGACGCUCAGGCACGAAAGUGUGGGUAGCGAACAGGAUUAGAUACCCGAGUAGUC
rnacentral:rRNA from 1 species